rnacentral:rRNA from 1 species
GACAGAGGAUGCAAGCGUUAUCCGGAAUGAUUGGGCGUAAAGAGUUGCGUAGGUGGUUUGUUAAGCGAAUAGUGAAAUCUUGUGGCUCAACCAUAAGGCUAUUAUUCGAACUGGCAAACUCGAGAAUGGGAGAGGUAAUUGGAAUUCCUAGUGUAGGAGUGAAAUCCGUAGAUAUUAGGAGGAACACCAAUGGCGUAGGCAGAUUACUGGCCCAUUUCUGACACUGAGGCACGAAAGCGUGGGGAGCGAACCGG